CAUCUGUUGGAGAGCCGUGCGUGCUGACAGAGGCUCUAGAAUUGGGCGCCACUCUGUGCCAGGCGGCUGGGGCUAGACCCCGCUCCCCGGCUGAUGCUGUCCUGCCCCAGGGAUGCCUGGCCAGGCUCUUGCUGUGUCCACCACGCUCCAUCCACACCCCUCCAUCACAUUUCACCAGGGGCCCGGGCCAGAGACGCAUCCGACAUCCCAUCUGGGAACAACGGCCUCAAAGAAUGGGGAGCAGCGAGGGCCGCCAGACACUGAGUCCUUCUGGAUCUUUCUGGCCAGGCUCCUUCCCUGGCAUCUGGGCUCGGUGGGGGUGGUCUGCCCCCUCAUUCCCGCAGACCCUGGCCCCUGGCAGGGCCCCCAGUCUCCACCUGCCCUGUCUGUUUCCUCCCCAGUGUAACUAUGCUGUAGAAAUAUAUUUUGGCCACACCCUGCA
rnacentral:lncRNA from 1 species